AGUACUGUUUCUAAAUAUUGACCAAAAUCAAUGCUAACUUCAUAGUACUAACAAUUGUGCUGUUGUUGCUCAUUUUACAAUCAAAUGUGGUACUAUCGAAAUUAAACUUGGAACAAAGAGACAAAUUAACAUAUUUAGUGGGAUAUUAUGGAUUUUCAAACUACAUAAUUUUUCCCAUUUACCAGAUGUACUACGAUAUUUUUUGUGGAAUCCAAACUUCUCUUUUCAAUCGAGGAUUUUUCAAUGUGUUUUAAUGAAGCUGGGAACUUUUA